GAUCAAGCGACUAAGUGCAUAUGGUGGAUGCCUUGGCGAUCACAGGCGAUGAAGGACGUAGUAGCCUGCGAAAAGCUGCGGGGAGCUGGCAAACAAGCAUUGAUCCGCAGAUAUCCGAAUGGGGAAACCCACCGCGCAAGCGGUAUCCCUGGCUGAAUACAUAGGCCAGUGGAGGCGAACCGGGUGAACUGAAACAUCUCAGUAGCUCGAGGAAAAGAAAUCAACCGAGAUUCCGAAAGUAGUGGCGAGCGAAAUCGGAAGAGCCUUUACGAUUUAGCAUUUUGCAUAGUCGAACGGAAUGGAAAGUCCGGCCGUAGCAGGUGAUAGCCCUGUAGACGAAAUGCAGAGUGUGGAACUAGGCGUAAGAGAAGUAGGGCGGGACACGUGAAAUCCUGUCUGAAGAUGGGGGGACCAUCCUCCAAGGCUAAAUACUCGUGAUCGACCGAUAGUGAACCAGUACCGUGAGGGAAAGGCGAAAAGAACCCCGGAAGGGGAGUGAAAUAGAUCCUGAAACCGUAUGCAUACAAACAGUCGGAGCCUCUUUAUGGGGUGACGGCGUACCUUUUGUAUAAUGGGUCAGCGACUUACAUUCAGUGGCGAGCUUAACCGAAUAGGGAAGGCGUAGCGAAAGCGAGUCCGAAUAGGGCGUCCAGUCGCUGGGUGUAGACCCGAAACCAGAUGAUCUACCCAUGGCCAGGUUGAAGGCACGGUAACACGUGCUGGAGGACCGAACCCACUAGUGUUGAAAAACUAGGGGAUGAGCUGUGGAUAGGGGUGAAAGGCUAAACAAAUCUGGAAAUAGCUGGUUCUCUCCGAAAACUAUUUAGGUAGUGCCUCAAGUAUUACUGCAGGGGGUAGAGCACUGUUAUGGCUAGGGGGUCAUGGCGACUUACCAAACCAUGGCAAACUCCGAAUACCUGCAAGUACAGCUUGGGAGACAGAGCACCGGGUGCUAACGUCCGGACUCAAGAGGGAAACAACCCAGACCGCCAGCUAAGGUCCCGAAUUAUCGCUAAGUGGGAAACGAAGUGGGAAGGCAUAGACAGUCAGGAGGUUGGCUUAGAAGCAGCCACCCUUUAAAGAAAGCGUAAUAGCUCACUGAUCGAGUCGUCCUGCGCGGAAGAUGUAACGGGGCUAAGCGAUAAACCGAAGCUGCGGGUGUGUACUA
rnacentral:rRNA from 1 species